AAAAAAAAAUUCAAGACCUAUAAGAACAUAGUUUUCUAUAGAAUCACAGGCAAGUUCCAAUAAAGCCAAGAACUAAAAAAAAUAAAUAAAAAAUAAA